AAUGUUGCACAAUGGGCGAAAGCCUGAUGCAGCGACGCCGCGUGAGUGAAGAAGGUCUNCGGAUCNUNAAGCUCUGUCCUAAGGGNCGAAACGGACGGUACCUUAGGAGGAAGCCCCGGCUAACUACGUGCCAGCAGCCGCGGUAAUACGUAGGGGGCGAGCGUUAUCCGGAAUUAUUGGGCGUAAAGGGUGCGUAGGCGGCCUUUUAAGUCAGAUGUGAAAGGCUACGGCUUAACCGUAGUUAGCAUUUGAAACUAAAAGGCUUGAGUGCAGGAGAGGAGAGUGGAAUUCCUAGUGUAGCGGUGAAAUGCGUAGAUAUUAGGAGGAACACCAGUGGCGAAGGCGACUCUCUGGACUGCAACUGACGCUGAGGCACGAAAGCGUGGGGAGCGAACAGG
rnacentral:rRNA from 1 species